GACGUAGGGUGCGAGCGUUGUCCGGAUUUAUUGGGCGUAAAGAGCUCGUAGGCGGCUCGUCGCGUCGACCGUGAAAACCCACAGCUUAACUGUGGGCUUGCGGUUGAUACGGGCGGGCUAGAGUUCGGUAGGGGAGACUGGAAUUCCUGGUGUAGCGGUGAAAUGCGCAGAUAUCUGGAGGAAUACCGGUGGCGAAGGCGGCAUCCUGGACCGACAUUGACGCUGAGGAGCGAAAGCUAGGGGAGCAAACGGG
rnacentral:rRNA from 1 species